AUCCCAUGUUGAGGACACUUACGAAGUAACUCCUUGAAUCGCUCCCAAGCCUCAUACAAAGACUCGUCAUCCAAUUGUUGGAAU
rnacentral:snoRNA from 1 species